rnacentral:rRNA from 1 species
GACGUAGGUGGCGAACGUUAUCCGGAAUCAUUGGGCGUAAAGGGUGCGUAGAUGGCAUGAUAAGUUAUUAGUGGGAAAUCGAGGCUCAACCUCGUGGAAGCUAGUAAUACUGUUUUGCUUGAGUACAGAAGAGGUUAAUGGAACUCCAUGUGGAGCGGUAAAAUGCGUAGAUAUCGGAAGGAACAUCAGUUGCGAAGGCGGCUCUCUGGACUCAAACUGACACUGAGGCACGAAAGCGUGGGUAGCGAACAGG